GUGCUUAACACAUGCAAGUCGAACGGAAAGGCCUCUUCGGAGGUACUCGAGUGGCGAACGGGUGAGUAACACGUGGGCAAUCUGCCCUGCACUUCGGGAUAAGCCUGGGAAACUGGGUCUAAUACCGGAUAGGACCUUUAGACGCAUGUCUUUUGGUGGAAAGCUUUUGCGGUGUGGGAUGGGCCCGCGGCCUAUCAGCUUGUUGGUGGGGUGAUGGCCUACCAAGGCGACGACGGGUAGCCGGCCUGAGAGGGUGUCCGGCCACACUGGGACUGAGAUACGGCCCAGACUCCUACGGGAGGCAGCAGUGGGGAAUAUUGCACAAUGGGCGCAAGCCUGAUGCAGCGACGCCGCGUGGGGGAUGACGGCCUUCGGGUUGUAAACCUCUUUCACCAUCGACGAAGGUCCGGGUUUUCUCGGAUUGACGGUAGGUGGAGAAGAAGCACCGGCCAACUACGUGCCAGCAGCCGCGGUAAUACGUAGGGUGCGAGCGUUGUCCGGAAUUACUGGGCGUAAAGAGCUCGUAGGU
rnacentral:rRNA from 1 species